rnacentral:tRNA from 1 species
UAAUGAGUUAAAUACAAGUCUUCUAAAUUUGUUAUAGGGUUUUCUCUGCUCGUUUUU